CGAAGGGCUCGGAGCGAGCCCCAGCGCCAGCGAGCAGCGCAUCCCCGGCUGUGCCGGGAGCUCGGGAGCAGCUGGGGAGGUUUGUGGGGAUGUGGAUGGCCACGGGAUGGCGUCUCCUGGCUUGCAAAGCUCAGGACGGUGCUUGGUGAGCAGCGCUAACACUGCCUGAAGUGCUCUGACCUGCACUGACCCUGCAGCUUCUGCUGCUAGAAACUUCUAAUGGUUUUUUUUCCCUUUUCGCUUACAAAGUAAGCUCUUCCUUUCAAAGUCAACACUAACUUACCAGAGUGAGGGUUUGCACUUCUUCGUGCUACUAACCUUGAAGCUGAUUUAAAAAAAGGUUCUCUGUGUCUGUAAGGAUAACACAACCCUGUGCUAGAGGGGACUUGGAUCAAAUUUACUGACAACCUGAAAUGAAUGAAUAGGCCCUGCUCACAGCAAGAGAGUUUUCCUAGGAGUGCAUUGCACAUUGGCUGUUUUCCCAGCCCCAUGGAGCCUUUCAGGAGCCUGCUGUGGCACGUUUUGGUUGGAUUUAGGGGAUUGCAGUGUACAAGCCGGGGUUUUUCCCAAGUGCUGAUGCUGCAGUGUUCCCAUCAGACCGCACGCAGGAAGCAUCUUCAUGUUAUUUCUCUGAGUGGGCACACACAGCCCCAGAUCUUGGAGAAUGUACAGCAGCUUCAGCUCUGUAACCUGCAGCACACAGGGAAUGUCUGCCUGCAUGGAGAGAGCCCUGCUCUGGUGCCCUGUCCAGCUAACCUCAUGUGGCAGCCACUGGAAGUGUGCUCUGAGGAACUGGCCCAGAGGAAGCGACUCUGCACUCGUGGCUCAUCAGCCCUGGCAGGAAACAGCAGGUCAAAGUUAGAAGGAACUUACUCAAAAGCUAAUGAGUGAGUGGUGCAGCAAGCACUGCAAGAAAGCAGGGCUUGACUGUCAGUGGAGGAUCUUGGGGUUCUCUGUUUUUAUUCCACUUUCUCUCUUCUUGUUCACUUCUGUUUAACCAGAGAUGCCAAGGGGAUGAUCCCUCAGAUGAGAAUUUGUAGGUGAGACUGUGCCCUCUCCUGAUCUGAGCACAACUACCUCUGGAAAAUGGGGCUGGUGCAGGAAACACACUGUUUAAUCUUCCUCAGUAUGUUUUUAUGAAAUAAAAUUAAAUCCUCAUGACUCUGUAUCUCA
rnacentral:lncRNA from 1 species